GAAGAACUGUACCCCAGCCAUGAAGAAUGCCUCUAUGGAAGGGGCUGGGGUGGGGUGGGGACAGAUAAGUGUAUAUUAUCAUUCAGGGUUACAAGGACCUGGAUACAUGUUUGUUCCUGGUAGAGUAGGGUCAAAGGAGAAGGAGGAUUAAGUCUGCUCAGGUGAAUCAGAAAAGAUUUCAUGAAGGGUAUGUCUAAACCACUUCUUAAGAGGAUGAGUAAGGACCUUUAUAAACUCAGCUUGUUCCAGGAAUCAGUGCCUCUCAAAAUUGCCUACCCCAAACAGUCAGAAACACAAGUUGGAGCCACUUCCACACCUUCCCUCCUCAAACACAGAAACACACACACACACACACACACACACUUAAAUGCAAAACUCAAGAGAAAUUGAAUAUAUUCUGUUCUUAUUUUAAAGUGAUUGUUUUAACUAUGGGAGCUUAUCAGAAUCAUCUGAAGAACUUUUUAAUCUUCAAAACGCCUGAGCCAGAGACCUCUCUGUUAACAAUCUUGCAUCACGCAAUCACUGACAUCAAGGUUUACACAACCUUGCUCUCUGAUGCAGAGAGAAUUAGACUAAAGGACCCCUGUCUAUCACUCUAGAUUUCCCCAAGGCACGGAAGACUUCUCUCUACAGAAUUAGAAUUCUCCCUUUUAGACUGUAAAGGAGUGUCAGUCAAAAUAGCUUUGAGUAUUUCUAGGGUAAGACAUGGAAGGUUUCAGUUCUCAAAGAAUAAGUUCAUGAGCUCUACGGAGGUGGGGAGUGGGGAGACAGGACUACUUCCCCAGCCCCCUGUAAGGUGAGUCGAGUCAAAAGUACUGUCUGAGCACUCUCAGGGAAACAGCAAGUCCCUUCUCCUCGUGCUUUCCUUCUUUCAGGAAAAUAUAAACCCAUUGAGUUGGUCACUAGUUCAUUGCGCUUCACUUGAUCAAUGUGAGCAGGGAAUCUCCUGAGAAACCUCUCUCGGGGGCAAAGGCCAGCUGAGUCCCAUCAGCCACCCCUGCCAGUGACACCUAACUCUACUUGAUGAAAAGCUCUGGAGCUUCGUGCAUCAAUCUUCUGGUUUUGCAGGACGGCCGCAGUUGGAUGAUUGGCAACAUGUGGGCACAUAUCCCAGGAAAACGCUUUGGAUUUUAAACUCAGGGACCUGUUUUUCAACUUCUCCAGGUCCAAGCUGCCUCAGGUCAAGGCUAUGGGGGUGUGGGGAUAGUAAGAAGGGUCAGAGAUGAGUUAUCUUCUUUCUUCCUUUUCAAUCUCAAAUCUGGCAGAGUUUACAGACUUCAUGGGCGAAGAGAUAAGAAAACCUCAGGAGCUGACAACCAUCCACUCACUGGGCACUUACGGCUAGUCAUGUAAAUGAAAACUACGUCACAUGGCAAAGAUUUGACCAAGUCCUCUCAACAGGCAGUCCGCCAGCCCAGCAGAUGGAGAAGACAGAAUCCAGCCUAGGGUCACCUGCUCCUCAUCCCUACUGGACAGCUUGACCUCGCUCAGCCCACUCGCACCUCAGUGGGCAUGAAAUAGAGCAAGGCCAUAUGGUACUUUCCCCCCCGUCCUCUGCCUGCCUUUGGUCUGUGGAAAACUUCAGUCGAAGAAUAAGUUUAAUCAGAGAAAUGAGAAAAUGCAGAAACAGAGGAAAAUAGUCAAAGGAGACCAGAGAGUCAUAAUACAGUCAUCAAGCAUAGUCGAGGACGCUUCAUCCCUUCUCAAUGGCUGAAGAUGAAAUUCUGAGCCAUCUUAUAGAUACUGAAACCCCCACCAGGUAGAAGAAGUUAGCUGCAUGAUGGCCAGGCUGUGGUCAUGACAUAAACUGCUACAAUCCUGAGAAGUGGCCUCAAGGAUAUGGAAACAAGGCAACCCUGGAGCUGAAGAUUAACUGUACCUAAAACUACUAGGAUGACACUGGUCAGACCAUCAGUGAUCAAUCUGAAGAUGACUGGCAGAACUGACUGUGCUGUUUCAUCAUGUAACACCCUCCCCCUUUCUAUAAAAGCUCUUAUCCCCUGCUUGUCAUGGGAGAUGUCUGCCCUCCCCUCCCCAGCAAGCCCCACCCUCCAGUUGCUGGCAUCUGAAAUAAAGCAAGCUUUCCUCUCCA